rnacentral:rRNA from 1 species
CGCUGGCGGUAUGCUUACACAUGCAGUCGAACGGAACUUCGGGUUUAGUGGCGGACGGGUGAGUAACGCGUGAGAAUCUGCCUCUAGGUCGGGGACAACAAUUGGAAACGAUUGCUAAUACCCGAUGUGCAGCAAUGUGAAAGAUUUAUUGCCUAGAGAUGAGCUCGCGUCUGAUUAGCUAGUAGGUGUGGUAAUGGCGCACCUAGGCGACGAUCAGUAACUGGUCUGAGAGGAUGACCAGUCACACUGGGACUGAGACACGGCCCAGACUCCUACGGGAGGCAGCAGUGGGGAAUUUUCCGCAAUGGGCGAAAGCCUGACGGAGCAAUACCGCGUGAGGGACGAAGGCUUUUGGGCCGUAAACCUCUUUUCCCUGAGAAGAAGAUCUGACGGUAUCAGGGGAAUCAGCAUCGGCUAACUUCGUGCCAGCAGCCGCGGUAAUACGAGGGAUGCAAGCGUUAUCCGGAAUUAUUGGGCGUAAAGCGUCCGCAGGUGGCUCUGUAAGUCUGUCGUUAAAGAAUGGGGCUCAACCCCAUACAGGCGAUGGAAACUACAAGGCUAGAGUUUGGUAGGGGUCACGGGAAUUCCUAGUGUAGCGGUGAAAUGCGUAGAUAUUAGGAAGAACACCAGCGGCGAAAGCGCGUGACUGGGCCAGUACUGACACUCAUGGACGAAAGCUAAGGGAGCGAAUGGGAUUAG